rnacentral:tRNA from 1 species
GGCACUAUGGCCGAGUGGUUAAGGCGCUUCCCUGCUACUUGAUAUCCAUCAACUGUCAGGAAGUCCGUUCGCGGGCGCGUGUUCGAAUCACGUUGGUGUCG